rnacentral:rRNA from 1 species
CAGCCGCCACGGUAAAACGGAGGGUGCAAGCGUUAAUCGGAAUUACUGGGCGUAAAGCGCACGCAGGCGGUCUGACAAGUCAGAUGUGAAAUCCCCGGGCUUAACCUGGGAACUGCAUUUGAAACUGUCAGGCUGGAGUCUUGUAGAGGGGGGUGGAAUUCCAGGUGUAGCGGUGAAAUGCGUAGAGAUCUGGAGGAAUACCGGUGGCGAAGGCGGCCCCCUGGACAAAGACUGACGCUCAGGUGCGAAAGCGUGGGGAGCAAACAGGAUUAGAGACCCCAGUAGUCCCUGUCUCUUAUAA